rnacentral:rRNA from 1 species
UACGGAGGAUGCAAGCGUUAUCCGGAUUUAUUGGGUUUAAAGGGUGCGUAGGCUGUGAGGUAAGUCAGCGGUGAAAUGCCCCCGCUCAACGGGGUGAAGUGCCAUUGAUACUGCCUUGCUGGAAUGCGGAUGCCGUGGGAGGAAUGUGUGGUGUAGCGGUGAAAUGCAUAGAUAUCACACAGAACACCGAUUGCGAAGGCAUCUCACGAAUCCGCUAUUGACGCUGAUGCACGAAAGCGUGGGUAUCAAACAGG